rnacentral:rRNA from 1 species
AUGAACGCUGGCGGCGUGCCUAAGACAUGCAAGUCGAGUGGGUUUAGACCCACGGCGAACGGGUGAGUACAACUUAGGAACUUUUUCCAAGUCGGGUAUAACCAGCCGAAAGGUUGGACAAUCCCCGAUAUUAUCGCAAGAUGAAAGUCGCAAGACGCUUGGAGUGAGGCCUGAGUACCAUCAGCUAGUUGGUAAGGUAAUGGCUUACCAAGGCUAUGACGGUUAGGGGUCCCGAGAGGGAUAACCCCCACACUGGGACUGCGACACGGCCCAGACUCCUACGGGAGGCAGCAGUUUGGAAUAUUGGACAAUGGGCGAAAGCCUGAUCCAGCGACGCCGCGUGGACGAUGAAGGUCUUCGGAUCGUAAAGUCCUUUUGGCAGGGAACAAUUUUUGAGCGUACCUGCAGAAUAAGAGGUUGCUAACUCUGU